AGUCUGCUAUAAAGACUUUCAGGCUGUCAGUUGCAGCAGAAGAAGAGAAGCUCCCAUCAGAUCACCUUCAAGGGCAACCAUGUUCUCUGUAGUUCUGAUACUGCUGCUGGCUGCUGGAUCCUGUGUGAAGUGUGAACAGUUGACACAGCCAGCCUCUGUGACUGUGCAGCCAGGUCAACGUCUGACCAUCACAUGUCAGGUCUCUUAUUCUGUUGGUAGCUAUCACACAGCUUGGAUCAGACAGCCUGCAGGGAAAGGACUGGAGUGGAUUGGAAUGAAAUAUACUGGAGCUUCAUACUACAAAGAUUCACUAAAGAACAAGUUCAGCAUCGACUUAGAAACUUCCAGUAACAGAGUGACUCUAAAUGGACAGAAUGUGCAGCCUGAAGACACUGCUGUGUAUUACUGUGCCAGAGAGCCACAACAACUUUGACCUUAGUGGGAGCAAUGG